CAGAGAAACACGACUCAGGAGCGUCUCAGGGCUCUCGGAUCUGGGGACAGAAGUGAGAUUGGAGAAAGUAGAGCGAUGCCAAGGAGGAAACAGCAAGCACCCAAACGGGCUGCAGGUUAUGUCCAAGAGGAAGACAUAAAGGAAGAGGAAGAUAUAAAGGAGGAGGAGGAAGAUGAUGAUGACAACAACUCAACUGCUCAGCUCCAGGGCAGCAAUGACACUGGCACGGAUGAGGAACACGAAGUGGGUCCUGAGCAGAAAGGGAACUUCAGUUACCAGAAUUCCCCUGUCAGUCAUGUAUCUAACCAGGAUGCAGAAAACGAAUCACUACUAAGUGACGGUAGUGACCACGUGGCAGACAUUAAAAGCAUCUGCUCUAGAGAGCCACAGGACCCAAAACCCAGCACCCAUCCCAAAGCCCUGAAUGAAGCACACGACUGCAUGGAUAAAAUGACAGCAGUCUACGCCAACAUACUGUCAGACUCUUACUGGACGGGCUUAGGGCUGGGUUUCAAGUUGUCUAACUCUGAAAAGAGGAGUUGUGACAACAGAAAUGGAGGGAACAAAGCUGAUUUUGAUUGGCACCAAGACGCACUGUCAAAAAGCUUACAGCAGAAUUUACCUUCCAGACCUGUCUCGAAACCCAACCUGUUCAGCUCGGUCCAGCUCUACAGGCAGAGCAGCAAAAUGUGUGGAACUGUGUUCACGGGUGCCAGCCGGUUUCGGUGCCGGCAGUGCAGCGCUGCCUAUGACACAUUGGUAGAACUGACGGUUCAUAUGAACGAGACAGGUCACUACCAAGAUGACAACCAUAAAAAGGACAAGCACAGGCCUACCAGCUACUCAAAGCCCCGAAAAAGGGCUUUCCAGGACAUGGACAAGGAAGAUGCACAAAAAGUUCUGAAAUGUAUGUUCUGUGGUGACUCUUUUGAUUCCCUUCAAGAUCUGAGCGUUCAUAUGAUAAAAACAAAACAUUACCAAAAAGUGCCUUUGAAGGAGCCGGUACCAACCAUUUCUUCAAAAAUGGUCACUCCAGCAAAGAAACGCGUGUUUGACGUCAACAGGCCUUGCUCCCCUGAUUCCACGACAGGGUCUUUCUCAGAUACUUUUUCUCCUCAGAAGAAUGCGAACCUGCAGUUAUCAUCUAACAACCGCUAUGGCUACCAGAAUGGCGCCAGCUAUACAUGGCAGUUUGAGGCCUGCAAAUCCCAGAUUUUGAAGUGUAUGGAAUGUGGAAGUUCCCAUGAUACCUUGCAGCAGCUCACGACCCACAUGAUGGUCACUGGCCAUUUCUUGAAAGUCACAAGUUCAGCUUCAAAGAAAGGAAAGCAACUUGUUCUGGAUCCUUUAGCUGUGGAAAAAAUGCAGUCGCUGUCUGAAGCACCAGCCAAUGACAGCCCAGUUUCAAAAUCAACCAGUAAAUCUUCUGCAGAAUGCAUAGCUCCCACCUCUGAACUAAAAAAAGAAAGUAAAAAAGAUAAAGUUGAUGAUGCAAACAAAGAUGAGAAAGCAGUAAAAACUGAAGAGUAUGAAGACACUCUUCAGAAACCACUGGAUCCCACAAUGAAAUACCAGUACCUCAGAGAAGAGGAUUUAGAAGAUGGUUCAAAGGGUGGUGGAGACAUCUUAAAGUCCUUGGAGAACACUGUCACGACAGCCAUCAAUAAAGCUCAAAAUGGAGCACCCAGCUGGAGUGCGUAUCCCAGCAUCCACGCAGCUUAUCAGCUCUCAGAAGGAGCUAAGCCGUCUUUGCCCGUGGGUUCCCAAGUACUGCAAAUCAGGCCAACGAUCACAAAUAAAUUGAGGCCCAUAGCUCCAAAGUGGAAGGUCAUGCCUCUGGUCCCUAUCUCAGCAAACGUGGCCCAGUGCACUCAAGUGAAGAAGGAAACUGAUGACAAGGAGGAGGUACAAAAGGACUAUGCUAAAGAGGGCAUUCAAGCUGAGCCUGCCUCACUCAGUCAGAGCGAGAGAGAACCUCUCCUCAAAUCUGAAGCCUCUGUGGAGCCAAAAAAGUCAGAACCAUGUUCCUUGAAAGAAGAAGACAAAAUUAAAGAGGACAGCGGAAAAGAAAAACCAGUCCUGAAGGAACCAACAGCAGCUUCCCUUAGUAAUGGUUGCGCUGCUGCCAACCAUUCGUCCGAACUGCCUUGUGUCAACCCUCUCAGUGCGUUGCAGUCAGUACUGAAUAAUCACUUGGGCAAAGCCACUGAGCCUUUACGGCCUCAAUCCAACUCCAGCCCCAGCUCUAGCACAAUUUCUAUGUUCCACAAACCUAAUCUAAAUAUGAUGGAGAAGCCAGUUUUAUCUCCUGCUCCAACCCCACCAAAGCCUGCAAGUGUAUCCAGGCACUAUUUGUUUGAAAACAGCGAUCAACCUAUUGACCUGACCAAAUCCAAAGGCAAGAAAGCUGAGUCAGCUCAAGCACAAUCUUGUACUUCUCCACCUCAAAAACACGCUCUGUCUGACAUCGCUGACAUGGUCAAAGUUCUUCCCAAAGCCACUACACCAAAACCUGCUGCAUCUUCAAGGAUCCCAUCUAUGAAAUUGGAAAUAGAUGUCCGACGCUUUGAGGAUGUCUCAACAGAAGUCUCCACUCUGCAUAAACGGAAGGGCAGACAGUCAAACUGGAACCCUCAGCAUCUGCUUAUCUUGCAAGCUCAGUUUGCUUCCAGCCUCUUCCAGACUUCUGAAGGUAAAUAUUUAUUAUCAGAUCUAGGCCCACAAGAGCGCAUGCAGAUUUCAAAAUUUACUGGACUGUCAAUGACCACCAUCAGCCAUUGGUUGGCAAAUGUCAAGUAUCAGCUUAGGAAAACUGGAGGAACAAAGUUUUUGAAAAACAUGGACAAAGGACAUCCAGUCUUUUAUUGCAGCGACUGUGCGUCUCAGUUUCGAACCCCAUCUACUUACAUUAGCCACUUAGAAUCUCAUCUAGGUUUCCAAAUGAAAGACAUGAACAGGCUGGCUGUGGAGCAGCAAACCAAGGUAGAGCAAGAAAUCUCCAGAGUUUCAGUUCAAAGAUCUCCUGAAACAAUAGCUGGAGAAGAGGACACAGACUCUAAGUUCAAAUGUAAGUUGUGCUGUCGGACAUUUGCGAGCAAACAUGCAGUAAAACUUCAUCUAAGCAAAACACACAGCAAGUCACCAGAACACCAUUCACAAUUUGUAGCAGAAGUGGAUGAAGAAUAACUCUUAAGGACGAAUGCCUUAGUCCCAGCUCUCCAGCCCAGGCUUCCCGCACCCAGCCCGCCUCUGCGCGUCACUCCGAUCCUGACAUUGAACUCACGACAACCCGGACCGAGAAGACUGCCAAAAAACCUCCCGCUAUUCUUCUUCAUCCUCACUAACAAUUUGAUUAAAAUCGGGUCCUGAGUCAACUCACAAAACCUUCCAGGAGACACUAAUGUCACGAGCCUCGCGUUACCUAGUGCACUGCUUGGAGAAUCGGGCGCAGCCCUGUUCACUCUCGCUGAGCAUUUCCUCGCAGCGAAAGCAACCUCCAGUAGACAAAUCCAUCUCCGCGUUUAACGGUGAACUUCCCUUAUCCUCAAAGGAAAAAAUAAGUCUGGAUCAAGUUGUAAACCACUACUCCAUUGCAAAUGACAUAUUCCAAGUGUGGUAGGCACGAGUCAAGAAGAGGAUCCUUCUCAAGUAAGAGAGGGCUUUGGGGUGUCCUUGUUGUUUCGUGUUAGACGUUCAAGGAUAUCAUCGAAGCGCGGCGUUCACAGAAUCAGACUGAAGACGCUUGGUGCGUUCCCCGUGGCUUGUGCGGAAGGGCCUGUUUCGGCAGCAUUUGGGAAAUUUUGACAUGAUCCCUAAACUCAACAUGGAGAGGAAAAAAAGGCCCUUCUUAUUUACCUCCUAGGGAAAGUGUUGCCCUUAUGCCACAUAUAAUAGCAAAUUGCUUUUUUUAUGGCAUGCAUAACCUAGAUGGGAAAAAAUAUGGCGCUUGAGGGAAGGAGGGAAAAAGUAAAUGAAGUUCCAGGAAUGUCAUUCUGAAGUAAUGAGGCAUGGACAGAAAAUAUACCCCUCACAUCAUCGGAUUGAGAUGGCAGUCGAAAUAGCUUCAUUGAAGUGUCAGCACUCAUCCAUCAAUCAAUCAUCCACAAGGAAAAAUAGCGACAGUACAACGGGGCGGCUUUUAUGGGAUUUACUCAUGGGCAUAGGGAAUAGCAGCUCAAAUGUAGUUCUGACAUGAAAAGCAAGGUGCUGAUAUUAUUUUUUAUGAUGGGAGGAUCAUAAAGUGAAUUGAGAACAGUGAGGUCUGUCUUUGCUUAACCUAUUCAACUGGAAAUGAACGGAGCUCAACUGGAAACGAGCAGAGCCUUCAGAUGGGUUAAGAUUGAAGCCUGCACCGUGCUGAGCACCAGCCAUUGACAACAAAAUUCUAUUAAAGCAAAAUCAAUGCAUUAGCAUCGAGCUCCUCAGAAGCUGUUAAAUCGCACAGCCCAGUUCAGAGUUAUUAAGUGGUUGCACAAGGCGGGUCCUGCGGCACGGACCCAAAGGCAGCGAGCGCCGCGGUAAAACGGCACUUGGGAGAAACCACGUGCCUAUCUCCAGCCCCGCUCCCUUCCCUGAGCUUUUCGAUGCUCCAGAAAAAAUAUUUGGCUUAUUGCAGCACCCGCUGGGUGAAGCUCCCACCGACUUCAGGCGGCCCCGAUCCCGUGCCCUGUGGCAGCCGGGUGUUUCACCGUCUGCUGUGGUGGAAACCCUCCGUGCCGUAAGUCUUGCUGCUUGCGGCCGUGGCCGAGCCGCACGGAUGCCGGAGCACGGAGCCCUCCUGCUGCAGCAGCCGGGGCUGGGGCUCCUCGGGGCACCGGCUGCUCCGUUUUGGCAGAAAAGGGGCUUUCCUGGCACCCCGUAGCUGCCGAGCCGCGGGCCCGUGGUGGCCGUAGGAAUCCCGGUCCCACCAUCAGCUGCCCCAGCACCGGCACCCCGGAGCUGAAAACCUCUCUCAAGGUUUUUGGGAGGGCCGGUCCCCCCAGGGAGGUCUGCCUGGCGGGCAGCGAGUUUUGCCCAGGAGGCUUCGCUCCGGCACAGGUGAGGGAACAGCUACUUCAUUUACAAUCUGGCCACAAACCUUUAUUACACAGUGCUAAACCUUGAUUAUUUUGCCUGCAUCGUUGUCCUCUGGGAACAUUUUAGGUACACAUUUGAAUUAAGUGAUUUUUUUUUUUUUUUUUACAAUAUGAUAUAAAAAAAGAAAAUGUACGUCUCUGUACGAAACUGGAUGAGUUGAUAGUUUAUCUGUCAUAUAAAUCAGGUAACACAGAAAAUCAUUGCAUCUUUUCUCUGUCAUAUCUACUCAAUAUCUAUCGUUCUGACUUUUAUUCUUAUUGGAGAUCAUCAAAACAUUAAUUAAAAGCCUGGUGAUCAAACAGACGAAUAUUUAUGAUUCACGUCCUUGCUUAUUAACAAGUGGCAUAUUGAUACACCACAUAUCCAAGCUGUUUAUGCUCUUGCGCUGCAAUAAAGCAGUAAGAAUUGUUACCCUUGCACACUGCUUUGAGAGAUUUAUUCAGAAACCAUAGCCUCUUUCCCGCCACCAUCCAUGUCAAAAUAAGCCAUAUCACCUUAAAAAAAAAAGUUCUGUUUUAAAAGAGGAACACUUAAUUAGCAUCUCUUUGGAGCCUGCUAUGUAAGAAUUUCAGUGGAUCAGUCCCAGGUGUUUUUUCCAGGCUCUUAUUAUUUAAGCUGAGAGGGAGAAGGACACUUAACUUUAAAAAUGGCUGUCAUUAGUACAAUAAUAAUUGUUGGUUUAAAAAAAAAAUCUUUGAGAAUCCACUAAUAAACCUGCCCAGUAAUUACUUGUCAAUGCAAGUUAUCAUGGGUUUUAUUACCUACUUGUAAAAGUAUUUACAAGACUGACCUCCCUAGCUUUUUUAGAGAUCAUGGAGGAUAUAAGAAGUCAUUUUUAAAAUCAAUAAUUAUAUAUUAACACAAUAGGGGUUGAAGCCUUCCAAGCCAGUUUUACAGGCUAUUGAGUCAACUCUCACACAUUCAGAUGGCAAGGGUUGUUUCCCGAAUUUUUGGUCUUUUUUUUCUUUCCUUAGUUGUGUUUCGAUAGUGCCGUAUUUAUUGGCUAAUUUACGCCCACAGUUCAGUUCCUAAAAUAGAAGGGGGUGUUCCCUUGGGAGAGCGUCCGUGCAGGUUUGCAGGGAAAGCAAGCUGCCCUCGGUCAGCGGGAAAGUCCCAAAGUAACCGAGUUUUGGCCCGGGGCAGCCUCUGGGCGAGACCUACCCAGAGAUUUGCUUCCUACGGCGUUGCUCCCUGCUGAUUACCACUGGCCUGAUCCUGCCUCCAAGGUGCUGCUCCAGUUCAAGCACAGCAGCUCAGCUCAGCCGCCGUUUGGUCGUGCUGUGAAUAUUGCCUUGCGAUCAAACACCAGGGAGCGGAAGAUGGCGACCCAAUUUUUGGUAGAGAUUUCCUCCCAGCGAAGAAAUGAGUCCGUUCGGCGCCCGGGGGGGGCUGGGUGACGGCACUGUCCCGUCCCCUCCCCGCCUGCUGUCGUAACUCUCAGGCUGCAGAAAGCACCUCGGCUCAGCGGAGGUGGAUCUCCGUCACAUAGGGCUUUUCUCUUAGGCCAGCAGAUAUACGAUGCAAUUUAUAUUUAAAAUUCUCUCUAUAAAGACAGUAUUGAUCACAGAUUCCAGAUCAAUACGUUGCAAUUACAGCAGGCUUUAAAGGCCAUCUGUCCCCAAGCAAGAGCACUGACACAACCACCUCGAUGCGUUUUGAAAAAGUGCUACCGGUACCUGCCCAUCUUCUCGGAGUACAACCGGCAUACUAUUUUUGCUCCCAGGAAGCUCUGUUUAGGAGCUACGCAGAGUUGUAAUUCCUGGUUCCUGGCCACCCACGAGGUGACCACAGGCCAGCGUCUCUGUGGGUCUCAAAGUCGCAGCAGGACCAGUGACACGCCGGUUUCGCUGGCCGGGUUUUCCUGCUCCCCCCACAAUUUAUCCCACGGGUCACAACGUUCCUUUUUGCCAAACCAUCGCUGUCUUCGGUUGAGAAUGAUCAGCAAGAGGUUACUGAAUUUCUUUAAAACAAAGAACUUCUGAGAAUGGCGCAGGAGAGUUUGAGCUGGACACUGGUAGGUGUAAGUAAGCGGAGCCUUUUCACGUGUGACAGAUGGGACCACGGCAAACGCUUUGAAAUUUGUAACUAAAGAAUAAAUGAUAGGCAUCUAAAGGCAGAUUUCAGUUCACAUCUCACCAAACUGAGAUCCCAGUUUUUCAGCACCUGAGGUCAAGAUAAGGCUGUCUGUUGGUGGCCCUGGAUCAGCCACUGGGUAGUGAUUCCAGAAAGGAAUGCUUCCUGGAUUUUCUUUUUUCUUCUGUUUUUAAUUAAUUUCCUGCAGUGGUUGACUUCACACGAGCAUGCAGACUGUAGGAUUUUUAUUCUCCAAUUGUGUCUUGAAGGAAAAUUAAAGAAUAAAAAGAUAACAAUAGUGGGUUUACAGUGAUAACAGAAGCCAGCAUACCUUUGCAAAUGAACACGUGCCAAGCAUAAAGGCCCGGGGAGAGGGUGUGCAUCCCGCGCGCGCCGUGCCGCGUCCCGCCGGCACGUUCCUGAUGCUCCCUGCAUCCGCCUCCCUCCGGUUUCGUGUCAGUCUUCAGCUUUAUUUACACCAGCUUCUGAACAAGAGAAGCCAGGUUCUGAACACGUUUAUUCCAGUGUAAAUGCAGAGCUACUCCUCGGAAUUCCAUCCGUUCACGCCCUGUCUCCGCAGCGCCGAACGCUGUCCUCACGGUCCCAACCCUGGAUUCCUAACGUGCUUAGAUGGGUUUGAAAACAAUGUCAGCAAACAGUCGGUAGCUCCGUGCAGAUUAGAGCUAAGGCACAGCCUGCACUUCAGAAGCGUUAUAGCUGUGAUGUCAGGGAAGUGAUUGCAAAACGUUGGUACUGGUGUGACCGUGCUGGUAAAAGUCCUAAUGUAAAACCAGUUGUAUCGCUAUAAAGCACUUUAUACUGGUACAGCUUAUUUUGCUUUGCUGGACCACUUUUAUACCAGUGCAAGCACUUUUAGCCCAGUAUACUUCAGUCUACGCUAGUGAUCAUUUUUUGUUUUAACUAUGCCGGCAAAAAAUGUGAAGAGUAGAUAACGUUUAAGAUGACACUGUUGUUUCUUGUACCAAAGUGUCUGUACAGUAUUUUCUUUGAGAGUAUUUUUAAGAGUGAAAUAGCUGUACCACUGGACUUAACUGCAGAGUAAUAAACUUCCAGUUCAUCAUCACUCUCAGCUCAUGAAAUGUCUUCAGGCCUUUGUAAAAAGCCCUGUUUGAGACAACAGAUUAAAUACUAAUCCUGGCAGAUCGUACAUCUCCGCUUGAGUUCAUACCAUCUAGCUGAGCAAACUUUUUUUUUUUUCUUUUUUUGAUCUAAGUAAAGGCAACACAUUCUUUCAUUAGACUUCUUAGAUGAGAUAGCAGGAAAAAAAGAUCAAUAUUUUAAGAAGAAAAUAAAAAAAAAAACCCUCUUGCAGAAACGCCGCUACAUUAAACGCAAGGAAUGCUUUCCCUUGAACGGCAGCAGCCCCAGGUGAGGCUCAAACCCAUGCGAUCGUCUCAAAGUGGUCCACGUGACAUUAAACGAUCCCCAUACCUGUAUAUGUCUAGGUAGAUAUGCAGGGAUAUGCAGACACCCCCCAUACACAUUCCUACAGUCGUGCGUACACCGGCACGCGGCACACGUGGGGGUGCGUGCGUGUGGCUUUACAAACAGGCACCGGUUCUGUGGCUGAAGGAACAGCCGGGCGCCGCUGGCACCCCGCGAAGCAGCAGAGCUCUCCAGGACGGACAAUGCAGUUUGUUGGCUUUACAAGGCAGCAGAUGCUGGAACGUGCAAUACAGGUUGCAAAAGCUGAACAGUUCUUCCUUGGCUCAGGGUACUUCACUGUCGUGUGUCUCUGGUACAACACACCCUCUCGUCCAGCGCUCAGGCACCGCUUCUUAAUCCUUUGUUGGGUUCUUUUUCCGUACAUUUGUUUCGGGUUUUUAUUAUCUUGACCACGUCAGCACGAAUGGUGAGAGAUCCACCCCCGGUUUCAAUAGUGCUUGGCCAUACCAGGAAAUGCGAUGGUCUCGCCCUGCCCCAGCGCUUGUGGUAUGUCGUAAGGUUGUUAUUGGCAGCAUCUUCAGGUUACAUCUGUGACCCGUGGUGUUAGGUCUAGAAUUUUGUUUAAAAAAAUAAAGAAUGGAAAGCUCAUUUCUCUUUUAAAAAAAAAAAAAAAUAUGUAUAUACUACAAAUCUCAAAAAGGAAAGAUUAAACACAUUUUUUAUAUUAACAACGCAGAUGGGACUCCUUUGCGAGAGGACUCACGGUGACUUUCUCUGUAGAAUGUUUCAGUGCUUAUGCACUAAUUUUGUAACAAGUGCAUGCUGUAUAGAAUAUAUUGCCCGUAUACUUAGAGCGGAGGGGGGGCCAAGCUGCUUUUCAUUGUGCACUGCAGCUUGUUUGGAUGAAAAGUUGCGCCUUUGAUGCAUUUUUAUACUGUACAUAUUUGUAUAUAUUAACUAUAUUGCCAUGUUAUGAACACAGAUUUUGUUAUAUUUGCUUGUUUCGGUUUCCUACAAAAAUUGGUCCAUGACGGGGGAUAUUUUAUUUUUUUUUGUAUAGAAAAUAUGCUUGUAAUUUUUGUUUGUUUGUUUUCUUGGUCAUCAUCUUUUAAUGGCUCCUAAAGGAAUUAGAGAUGAGUUUUUGGAGGAACUCUGAGAAGCAAGUCUGUGUUUGCAUGAGACCUGCCCAAUUGCUGGCUGUAAGGGGGGCGGGGGGAAGAGGGGAAAUCUAAGUCAAGUUUUGCUGUUAAAGCAUGCUUAGUCCCAUGGGAAAGCUCACACAUGUACAAUUAUUCUCUUUGUAUUUUAUCUAAUAGUGCCUGAAUAUUUUUUUUAAUGUCUUCUUGGAGGAACAAUUCAUAAUUGUCAAAAUUUGAAACAUUAGCUUAAUUUUGUUUUCAUGACCUCUCAUUUCUCCUCCUUAUUUAUUUUGUUGCUGUUUAUAAUGGGCCCCAAGGCCAUUUCUGACAUUGCAGUGUUCUUCUUCCACAUUAAGGAUGUUUUUAAAAUUACUAAGAUUAUUGAGCCAACAGGCUGUUUUAAUCAAAACCAUGUUUCACUUGCUUUUGAUGAUUAUGAAUGGUCCUUGCAGAGGGAGCCCCUUUCUGCUGGAGGACCCCACCACCUAGCGGCCUCCAGCCCCAGCGCUGCCGCAGCUUCCCCGCGCUCUUGCUCCGAGCCUAGCUGGCAAUUUGGCUUCAAAUUAUUUGCUUAUUACAACUAACUUCAACUAAACAAAUUGAUAACGUUAAUGGCUUUUUUCCCCCCCCCCCCCACCACCCCCCCUUUGGUUGAUUGCUAAAUAAAUUUGUAUAAUUUAUACUAGAGGAGAUUACUGCUUUUAUUGUUUUGGGUUCCCCCAAACCAAUUAUUAACAAUCAGGACUAUGUAUCUCAUUAAAUUUAAAUGAGGUCAAACCUAUUUAUCUAAGGCCUUUUCUGAUUUACAGGAAGAUGACUGUAUUCCAGUGCAUUUAAGAUGUAUUUCUGUGUAUGAUUUUUGCAGCAUUGAAAUCUAUUAACGGUGAUUUUUUGUUCUGUAUUUUUACCACAGUAAAUACGUUGUAAAAAAAAAAAAAAAAAUCCCUCAACUUUACCACUGAAAACAUUACUUUUUAUGCCCAGGGAUUUUUUUUUUUUAAUAAAAUCACUGCAGUUUUAAAACUGUAAUUAAAGCCCUGAAUAAUAGAUCACACAUCUUUAUCUGUUGUGUUUAAAAGGAAAAAAAAUAGCCCAAACUGUUCACAUAAUGCUGAAUGCCUCAUUUCCAUAAAAAAGGUUUCUAUACAUAUAUUAUUUACAUUUUUAAACAUGGUAAUUCUUUCCUUUGUGGCAUAAAAUGUCUCUUUUCCACUGCAGCUAUUGGAAAGCGACUGCUCACAUCUGAAAUGUUAUCGUAAUUUGCAUCAGGAAACCCAACUGCAGACAUUAAGGACUUGGGUGUGUUCAAUUAUGAUUUUGCUGGAGGCUGUCCCUCAUUUUAAUGCUGCACUCAUUGAACUACCUUUCUGAAAUCUAGCUGAUACGGUUCACCAUAGACGUGCUUCACAACAUCAUUAGCUUUGCAAAUGGCUUCAUUUCAGUCAAUGCAGACUUCAGUUUUGGCCAAUUGUAAAAUGGAAAUUUGAAAAGGAAAAAAAAAAAAAAAACAGAUGCACUUAAAACAUGAAAAGAAUUAUUUAUAUGAUAAAAAUAUAUUUAGAUUUUCAAAGCACAAGACUGAACAGAAGUGCUCUUUUUAUGCUUUCUGAAGAUGUUACUGUUAAAAGUCUUUCU